GAUGAACGCUGGCGGCGUGCCUAAUACAUGCAAGUCGAGCGAACAGACGAGGAGCUUGCUCCUCUGACGUUAGCGGCGGACGGGUGAGUAACACGUGGAUAACCUACCUAUAAGACUGGGAUAACUUCGGGAAACCGGAGCUAAUACCGGAUAAUAUAUUGAACCGCAUGGUUCAAUAGUGAAAGACGGUUUUGCUGUCACUUAUAGAUGGAUCCGCGCCGCAUUAGCUAGUUGGUAAGGUAACGGCUUACCAAGGCAACGAUGCGUAGCCGACCUGAGAGGGUGAUCGGCCACACUGGAACUGAGACACGCCCCAGACUCCGACGGGAGGCAGCAGUAGGGACUCUUCCGCAAUGGGCGAAAGCCUGACGGAGCAACGCCGCGUGAGUGAUGAAGGUCUUCGGAUCGUAAAACUCUGUUAUUAGGGAAGAACAAAUGUGUAAGUACCUAUGCACGUCUUGACGGUACCUAAUCAGAAAGCCACGGCUAACUCCGUG
rnacentral:rRNA from 1 species